UACAGAGGUGGCAAGCGUUGUUCGGAAUUACUGGGCGUAAAGGGCGCGUAGGCGGCCCACUAAGUCAGACGUGAAAUCCCCCGGCUUAACCUGGGAACUGCGUCUGAUACUGGAGGGCUUGAGUAUGGGAGAGGGAUGUAGAAUUCCAGGUGUAGCGGUGAAAUGCGUAGAUAUCUGGAGGAAUACCGGUGGCGAAGGCGGCAUUCUGGACCAUUACUGACGCUGAGGCGCGAAAGCUAGGGGAGCAAACGGG
rnacentral:rRNA from 1 species